AACCAGUCUAUCAGUGUGUAAAGCAAACAUGAUAAAAGCAGCGAUACUCGUCGUCAUGGCAACCGUGGCCAUUAAUGAGGCCAUUGUCUGUUUACCCAAUUAUUGUGACAACGUCCAGUGCGAGGCGAUCACGAGCUGUAAUGGAAGAAUUGUUUCCAGUGGCGGGUUUUGUGGGUGCUGUGACAUGUGCAAGAAAGUCUUAAAUCCGGGAGAUAACUGCUUUCAAAUGUUGUUUAGGGGUGUUCCCAGCACAGUUAUGUGCCCUGACAAUUACCACUGUGAUGCUGUCACGACCAAAUGCGUCGCAGUGACACAGUAGUGCGUGUCCUUGCUGUAUGACCUGAGAUCUCUUGCACACACAGACACAUGUUCUUGGGAAUAAACUACUGUGUGUGUA
rnacentral:sRNA from 13 species